GUAGAUUGCUUUAGGUAG
rnacentral:misc_RNA from 1 species